rnacentral:rRNA from 1 species
UGGGGAAUUUUGGACAAUGGGGGCAACCCUGAUCCAGCCAUGCCGCGUGCGGGAAGAAGGCCUUCGGGUUGUAAACCGCUUUCGGACGGAAAGAAAUCGCAUGGGCUAAUACCCUGUGUGGAUGACGGUACCGUAAGAAGAAGCACCGGCUAACUACGUGCCAGCAGCCGCGGUAAUACGUAGGGUGCGAGCGUUAAUCGGAAUUACUGGGCGUAAAGCGUGCGCAGGCGGUUUCUUAAGCCAGACGUGAAAUCCCCGGGCUUAACCUGGGAACUGCGUUUGGAACUGGGAGACUAGAGUGUGUCAGAGGGAGGUGGAAUUCCACGUGUAGCAGUGAAAUGCGUAGAGAUGUGGAGGAACACCGAUGGCGAAGGCAGCCUCCUGGGAUGACACUGACGCUCAUGCACGAAAGCGUGGGGAGCAAACAGG